UCUCGAUCCAUUGUGUGUUUCUUCCGCAAUAAAAACAAACCACGAGUGGGGGUUUUGAUUUAACUGAUAAGAUCAUUUCCAUCCCAAGGCCACUGCUCCUCGAUCGAUCAGAUUGGAUCGAUCUUCUUUUUAUCGUUCUUCUUUUUGCUAAUUCUUUUUGUUUUGAUUCAUCUGUUCAAAUCGAUUUCCCGUCGUUCUUGUUUUUGGAGAACGGUUGCGACGGUCACCGUCGUCACGGCACUGUUUGAUUUGUCUUUCAGAAGCUUUUGAUUACGUGCUGUCGGCACUGUUACCGACGUCCUGCAUGGAGGAGAGAGAAUUGAGUUUUUUUUUUGGUUUCUUUAACUGCUUAUUUAUUUCGUACUGAAGCUAAAAACCCUAAUUAAUUUUCAUUAUCUUCAGAAAAUGUCUGUUCCUUCAUGAAAUAGUGUGUUUAUGAUUUGAAUUUUGGGCGGCUUUAAGGUGUUCAAUACUCUGGAUCUGGCUCAUCUCGUCGUCUUCAUCAUUAUCGGAUGAUUCGGAUCUCUCUCUUUCUCGUCUCGCUCUGCGGAUUUCUAUGUGUAUACGACGGUUUUUUUGUCUCCGUUUCACAUGUGAAAGAUUCUUUUACUGAAAAUUAUUUGUUUAUCGUUCUUGAUGAUGUUUUGUUCUUCAUCGUCCGCUGGACUUGGAAUUUGACAGAAGAGAGUGAGCACCCAGAGGCAGUUGGUAUAAAAGUGUAUACUAAUUCUUUUGCGUGCUCACUUCUCUCUCUGUCAGAUUCGUUAGAUGGAUCGAGUUUCACAAUUCUUCUCCAUCGAUUUUUCUGUUUUAGAUUUGUUAAUCCUUUUAUGGAUUAGACUCAGAAUUGUAUGUUACUUUUCAUCUCAUAUGAAUCGGAUUUAUGCAGUGUGUUCUUUCUUUAGAAGCGUUGCUUUUCAUGUUGCUCACUGACCGGUAUUACCGGCACGAUCGUGAGAAUACCGUACAACGGGACCUCUCUCAAAGCUACAUAGCAUAGGCUGGUCCUCUCCCUAUCGGUAUCUCUCUCUUUUUCUCUCUCUCGAGCAAGUCGUUUUGUUUCUCUUGUUUGUUUAUUUUGCUGCUUUGUGAUUUGAUGCACUAAUUUAUUAUUAUUACGCGCAUGCUUUGAUUUAAAUUCAUGACAUCGAUGUAUGUUUUUCUCCUGAUUUUUUCCUCUAAAUACUGUUGAUGGGAGCUUCUCUAGGUAAUUUAAUAGACCCUAUGUUACCUUGAAAUUGAAUGUAGUUAUUAUUAGUGUAUUAAUGGGGAGGGUUCAUAAGCGGAGGAGAGAAUUUCUAUUCUGAUUUCCGGUCAUGUUAUCAUCAUUUUCACGAUUUAUAAUGCAUUAAUUAAUUGUAGAAAACUUGCUUACCCAUUAUAUCGAAAUUCGCAAAAUAGCAAGCCUAUUGUCUUUUUGUAUUUGUAGUUCAGUUGAAUUUUAGACCUUUGGACGCCACACUAUUGGAGAUUGGCUCAAUAGAAUUAAUUAGUUUGUUAAAUCCUCGAAUUUCUGAUUUCACCAUGUAGUAGUAACCUUUUUUACCCCUUCCCGUGGCUUAGUGAUGGUGAAAUUGUGGAAACAAAAUGUCAGAUUUAUUGUGCGUUUCUUCAUCCAGGUUUGAGAAUAAUAUGAACACGAAUGUUUUAAUUGAGUAGCUGUUUAAUGCUCGAGAAUUUUCUUAAUUUCGAAGUUUACUGUGCAUGUGUGGAGGUGACGUUUUUUGCGCAAUUAUGUCAAUUUCCUCAUUGGUUUAAUAAUUGUUGAUAGGACGUUGGAGAAAAUACUAAAAUUAGGGACAAUAAUUUUUUAUACCCAUCAAGGGAAUUUAAUGUAUCGUUAUUCAGCGUAUGCAUCACACUUUGCAGUUCUUUUACAUUGCAUCAUAUAUAUGUAACUUCCACCUAUACUGAUGCUGUGAAGAAUAUUUUCAAUCAAAUGCAAUGUUUAAAAGCUAGGAUUCUUGUAAAUGUAUGAUUUUGAAUAAAAAGCUAAUUGUACACAACUUUUUAUGAUAUUUUAAAUGCUAUUAUGCUUUUUAAAUAUUUUCUAUGCAGUUCUUCUAUGUUGUGCCCUCCUUAGUUAUAUAUUAAUAAUUUGAUGAAAUCCUACAAAAUUAAUCAAGUCUCUCUCUAAACGAAAAUUGAGUUCAUGGAUUAACUAAGGAAUACCAAAUUUUUAGUGUGUUAUACGAAAAGGAAUAGAAGUGAAAUAUUGACUUCCAACUUCUAAACAAAAUCACGAUUGAAUGCACAGAUUGUGAUAAAUGCAAGCUUUUUCACUUGUUGGUUAGUUGAAGAGGACAAAAAAAUUUAUAUUGAUUUGUUUAUUUAUUUAAUUUUAUAUUUGGUUGGUUCUACCUGUUGAGGGAUGGAUCGCACAUAUGUUCUUUCUACAAAUGCAUAUGCUUUUAAGCCGGACAUGAUUCACUAAGGAUGUGUCAACCUAGCUAAGAUAUCUUGGUCUAUCUUCUGAUUCCUCUUCUUCGUCGUAUUAUUUUCUCAUCGUAUAUGAGACACAUAUGGGUAUAGAGUUAUGAUAUAGACAUAUUAGUUAUUGCGGCCUCUCACAAUGGUACAAAGUCCAAAAUUUUUCGGAGCAAUCUUAUUGCGGCCUGCUUAUGGUGUCUUUGGCUAGAGCACAACAACCGUAUAUUUCAAAGCAUAAAAAAGCCUGUUUCAACGUUUGCCCUUUUGAGCUCUAAAUCCUCUCUUUUCUACCACUAUGGUGCUUGUACUAUUGCAUUAAAUUGGAAGGUUUUUUUCCUAGCUUCUUGCUUGUUUUUUUGUUAGUGAGCUUAACUCUAGCUCUCUUUGUAUAUAAUUGUUGCUUAUUUUAGGUUGAUUAAUGCAUCUCGAUUAGAUCUUGAGGUAUGUGAUGAGGGUGUUAUGGAUGUCUCAAUGUCUUGGUGUAUCUAUUGAUCAUUUUAAAGUAUAUAGGCAGACUAGUUCAAAGCAAUGGAGGAAGAAUUAUAAUUGACCAUGGUAAGACCAAUAUGCAGCCUAGAGAUGAAAUUGUCCCAAAUUUGGAUGCAACUUUUGGGAGAUGUUCUCGAAAAUGAGGUUGCCCGAUGAAAGUAGAAGAUCCUGAUCCAGUAUGUAGCUGAAAGGUGCGGUGCAAGGUUACAAAUUUUUGCAUCAUGCAUGCGUACAAGGUGGACUGUUAAGGGGAACCAGGCGAGGCGAGGUGGGGGUGACCGUACGGUGGUUGUGAUGGACUAAUGCACCAAGUCGGAAGACAAUAUAAUGGAAUUGGAAAUCUUGAGAUAGGUGAAGGGGAGACUUUGAGCAGCUCAACUGGAAGGCUGUAUUAGCCAAAAACGCAGGACGGGUUGUGUCUCACACUCUUCCCUGGUGUUGUUGGAAACCGUGAAACCCAUAUUGAAGAUUUUUAAGUGAAGCUCCAUAUUUUAUAUGUUGAAUGUAUAAGAAUAGUAGUAAUAAUAAUAAUAAUUAUUAUUUGUUUUUUGAAAAGAGACAAACCACUUAAUUUAUGAUCAAAAGAGAUAUGUGAAAUAGAAGAAUCAUCAUAACUACAAAAGAGAGUUCGGAAUUAGGACACUAAUACACGGUUGUUCAAGGCAUUUUUUUGGAA